UUCUAGCUGAACUUACUUGCCACCAUGAUCCAAUGAGAUUUUUAGUCUUUCCAAAAAUUUAGUAUCAAAUGAACUGAUUCUGAUUCUGUUUUUUUAAGCGUUAAAACAUAAAACUACCUUACUGCCUUAAUAUGUUCAAUUUUGAGGGAUUGAGUCCUGAUGAAUUAUUUAGUUUUAAAAAUAUUUUUAUUAUUGGUAUCAAUUCACCGUUUUGAUUUUUUUAGUAUUACAUAGCGCAAGUGACUUAAAGGUAUUCUUCUAAGGUUUGAAGACACUACUAAGAAGAAAACAUUAGAAGAUGCUUCUUGUUUUGAUUCAUCCAACUCAAAGGAAGCAGAUUUGGAGUGCAAUUAUUUAACAAGAAUCAGUUGUUUGGGGGAGGCUAUGUUGCUUAGACUGGUGUGAUCCAUACUAAUCAUCACUCAUUGCAGGUCAGGAGGAAUUCAAGUGUUCAACACAAGACAUAACUGCAGAUAACCGAUUUUGUUCCUGCUGCUUAUCUCAUUUUUUUCUCUGUAUAUACUCAUUUUGAGUAAGUAGGAUAAGAUAAAAAAGCUAUAUUGCUAUAGUGAGAUAUCAUUUAUUUAAUCUUUGGGGCCAAGAUCGAAGGAAAUGGUAAACCUUUGAACCCUCUGGAUUUUGUAAGUAACAUGUAAAGCAAAGUUAUUAUAGAAUAUAGGUAGAAUCAAAGAAUGUCUUGUUAUGU